ACCCUUGAAACAUAAAGUCCGGUCUAGUAUGGGGGACUGUCACUCCUUCGACCCGGGUUCGAAUCCCGGCCCGGGCG
rnacentral:tRNA from 1 species